rnacentral:rRNA from 1 species
AUUGAACGCUGGCGGCAGGCCUAACACAUGCAAGUCGAACGAGUGGCGGACGGGUGAGUAAUGUCUGGGAAACUGCCUGAUGGAGGGGGAUAACUACUGGAAACGGUAGCUAAUACCGCAUACCAACAGACGUGCCCAGAUGGGAUUAGCUAGUUGGUGGGGUAACGGCUCCCAAAGGCGACGAUCCCUAGCUGGUCUGAGAGGGUGACCAGCCACACUGGAACUGAGACACUGUCCACACUCCGUCGGGAGGCAGCAGUGGGGAAUAUUGCACCAUGGGCGCAAGCCUGAUGCAGCCAUGCCGCGUGUAUGAAGAAGGCCUUCGGGUUGUAAAGUACUUUCAGCGGGGAGGCGUUACCCGCAGAAGAAGCACCGGCUAACUCCGUGCCAGCAGCCGCGGUAAUUC